AGAGUUUGAUCAUGGCUCAGGAUGAACGCUAGCGGCAGGCUUAAUACAUGCAAGUUGAGGGGCAGCAUGAUAUACGCGAGUAUAUUGAUGGCGACCGGCGGACGGGUGAGUAAAAGGUAGGAGACCUACCUCAUACAGGGGGAUAGCAUAGAGAAAUCUGUGGUAAUACCCCAUGAGGUUAUAUGAAUAGAGGCAUAUAAUCAAAGUAUACGAGAGUAUGCGGUAUGAGAUGGGCCUACUGACCAUUGGCUAGUUGGUGAGGUAAGGGCUCACCAAGGCGAAGAUGGUUAGGGGUUUUGAGAGAGAGAUCCCCCACAUUGGAACUGAGAUACGGUCCAGACUCCUACGGGAGGCAGCAGUAGGGAAUAUUGGGCAAUGGGCGGAAGCCUGACCCAGCCAUGCCGCGUGAAGGAAGACGGCCUUAUGGGUUGUAAACUUCUUUACUAUACGAAUAGAGGUUAGUACGAGAUACUAAUAGGAAGGUAGUAUAGCAAAAAGCACCGGCUAACUCCGUGCCAGCAGCCGCGGUAAUACGGAGGGUGCAAGCGUUAUUCGGAAUUACUGGGUUUAAAGGGUGCGUAGGCGGUUAUAUAAGUUGUCAGUGAAAGGCUACGGCUCAACUGUAGUAGUGCUGGCGAUACUGUAUAGCUAAGAACAUGGGAGGGGUACCUGGAAUGUGUGGUGUAGCGGUGAAAUGCAUAGAUAUCACACAGAACACCGGAGGCGAAGGCGGGGUACUAGACCAUAGUUGACGCUGAGGCACGAAAGCGUGGGGAGCAAACAGGAUUAGAUACCCUGGUAGUCCACGCCCUAAACGAUGAUCACUAGAUAUUGGCGACAGACAGUCAGUGUCCAAGCGAAAGUGAUAAGUGAUCCACCUGGGGAAUACGGCCGCAAGGUUAAAACUUAAAUGAAUUGACGG
rnacentral:rRNA from 1 species